rnacentral:lncRNA from 1 species
GAGUCUACGGUGUGGAGACACCAGAGUGAGAGUACAGAUAUUCAUUGAGAAUGAGAGUACUGAGCAUGACCACCUCGAGCAGUCAUAAGGAAGUCUACCUUCUCGUCGAUGACUAGCUCGAUGCUGUAGCUGUGUGUCUAGUUCUUUGACCUGAGGUACAUCGACAGUUCACCUUGAGUGUGUUAUAGUUUGACUACACCAUAACU